rnacentral:misc_RNA from 1 species
UGAGUCCUCAGCUUGAAUUCUGCCGCAAGAUCCUCCAAAGGCACACAUUUGUGUUUCUUAAUGUAUUCCACAAAAUCAAAAAGUAGACCCUGGCUUCCAUCUUGAACUUCGUUUUCAGUUGUUCCCUCAGCAUCAACUGAAAUUUCACCUUUCCAUUUUUCAAACUCUAAUGCAGCAGCUUCUUCCUCUUUGGCCUGUCGAGCCUUGGCUUCUUCUUCCAGUGCACGCUCUAGAGCUUCACGCUCCUCCUCCUUCCUCCUCCUGAUUUCGUCAUAGUGGCUUUGCUUUGUCUGUUUUGAUUCCCGAGCAGCUUCUUCAGUCUGUCUUUGUGCUUCCCGCUCUUGACGCUUCUUUUCCUUUUUCUUUGAUGACUUUGCAGUAUAAUAUCCAUCUCCGGGUUCUUCAUCAUCACUGCCAACCGGUUCAUCUAUAUUGGCUGCAGCUGAAGAUGUGCUAGCAGCUGAAGAAGCUGGUCUUCGACGCAUUCGACGCGUUCCAGUGGCUCUUACUACAGUGUCCCUCUGCUGAACCUGAGGUUCAUCUUCAUGUUCUCUGGAAGACUGAGAAUUUUGCCGGCGCUUCCAAAGAUAAAGCGGAACUAAUAGUAGAGCCAGAAGCAUCGAGAGAACCACUACCAACAUGUCCUCCAUUUUUCAAUACUCAGUGCAGUAUCCUGUCUGAGAAGGAGAUCGCCGGCGUUCACCGGAGAAAUAAACGCAGAGAAGCAAUUUCCGAUACGAUAAUCCGG